GUGAGGGCUGAGGGGAAGGGAAAGAGUUUCUGACAUCUUGAGCUGGGAUUAAGAGGAAGAAAGCUUUAAGGUAGUGGAAAGGUAAGGGUCACAGACAGGCUAGACUCAAGAACAGAGCUGAAUGAAUUACAGAGGGGUGCUAUCUGGUCCGCUGGGCCACUGGGAAGAGCUCUCAGGUCCCAGUCAGCUUCAGCUCUCGUAAGAAUAUCCAGGUUACCACAUAAAUGAUAGCCUAGGUCUUCCAUGGGAAACUAAUCUGAGCUAAAUCUACCUGUGCUCUGUUAUCUUAUUCUCUCUUUGCUUCUUACCCUGUGAAAGGAAGUGGACCUCUUCUGGCAUCUCAUACUACUAUGUUCUUUUCCCUGGGAUCCAAGUUCUAGUUCAUAAAGACCACGUUUUGCAACUUCCUAUAAAUGGUUGAGAAGAGCAAGCUGUCCGACAGUGAGGGGGCUGAAAAGUGUGGUGGAUAGUGAGGGGGAAAAGGCCUAUGUAAGC
rnacentral:lncRNA from 1 species